ensembl:piRNA 21ur-7149 ncRNA
UUCACUAUCUUAUUGACCAAC